GUCGAUAUGUCGAGUAGUUAAGGAGAUAGACUUGAAAUCUAUUGGGCUUUGCUUUCGCAGGUUCGAAUCCUGCUGUUGACG
rnacentral:tRNA from 1 species